rnacentral:rRNA from 1 species
AUUGAACGCUGGCGGCAGGCCUAACACAUGCAAGUCGAACGGUAACAGGAAACAGCUUGCUGUUUCGCUGACGAGUGGCGGACGGGUGAGUAAUGUCUGGGAAACUGCCUGAUGGAAGGGGAUAACUACUGGAAACGGUAGCUAAUACCGCAUAACGUCGCAAGACCAAAGAGGGGGACCCUCGGGCCUCUUGCCAUCGGAUGUGCCCAGAUGGGAUUAGCUUGUUGGUGGGGUAACGGCUCACCAAGGCGACGAUCCCUAGCUGGUCUGAGAGGAUGACCAGCCACACUGGAACUGAGACACGGUCCAGACUCCUACGGGAGGCAGCAGUGGGGAAUAUUGCACAAUGGGCGCAAGCCUGAUGCAGCCAUGCCGCGUGUAUGAAGAAGGCCUUCGGGUUGUAAAGUACUUUCAGCGGGGAGGAAGGGAGUAAAGUUAAUACCUUGGCUCAUUGACGUUACCCGCAGAAGAAGCACCGGCUAACUCCGUG